UCGCUUCAGCAGCAACAAUAUACUAAACAUUGGAAUUGGUAGAGAAGAUUAUCACUGGCCCCUGUGCAAGGAUGACAUGCAAAUUCACGAAGCGUUCCAUAUUUAA